rnacentral:rRNA from 1 species
CGGACGGGUGAGUAACGCGUGAGAAUCUGGCUCUNGGUCUGGGACAACCACUGGAAACGGUGGCUAAUANCGGAUGUGCCGAGAGGUGAAAAGGUUAACUGCCUAGAGAUGAGCUCGCGUCUGAUUAGCUAGUUGGAAGUGUAAUGGACUCCCNAGGCGACGAUCAGUAGCUGGUCUGAGAGGACGAUCANCCNCNCUGGGACUGAGACACGGCCCAGACUCCUACGGGAGGCANCAGUGGGGAAUUUUCCGCAAUGGGCGAAANCCUGACGGAGCAAUNCCGCGUGAGGGAGGAANGCUCUUGGGUCGUAAACCUCUUUUCUCAGGGAAGAAACACNAUGACGGUACCUGAGGAAUAAGCNUCGGCUAACUCCGUGCCANCANCCGCGGUAAUACGGAGGAUGCNNGCGUUAUCCGGAAUGANUGGGCGUANNNNGUCCGCANGUGGCAAUGUAAGUCUGCUGUUANAGAGUCUAGCUCANCUANAUAUAAAGCAGNGGAAACUACNUANCUAGAGUACNUUCGGGGCANAGGGAAUUCCUGGUGUANCGGUGAAAUGCGUAGAGAUCAGGAAGAACACCGGUGGCGAAGGCGCUCUGCUAGGCCGUAACUGACACUGAGGGACGAAAGCUAGGGGAGCGAAUGGGAUUAGAUACCCCAGUAGUC